UAUGGCAAAUAAAGAAACAAACAAGAAAUAUAACUUGACUCAUAUUUCUUUUGAAAAGAUAUCUGAGAGAUAUCAAAUUUCAAACUUGUAAAAGGAACAAUUCUGAGUCAGAGUAAGAUGUUAAAGAUUUCUUGGAUUUUCAAAAAAGUGUUACAGACAGACAUCCUCAACUGUUUCAGGAAGGCAAGUUUUAAGACAAUACAUCUGAUGCUAUUUUUUGUGAAAGGUGUAAAGUGCCGCUUUCAGUUCUGGAUGAGCUUAAAAAAAUGCUUGAAGAUGAUCUUCAUCAUCUGACUUUAGGAAAUAAAGAUUUAUCCCCAAGAUAUCAAGAGCUGCUUCAUUUUAUCAUGCAAGAUCAUGGUGUUGAAAAACAUUCCAGCAAUCAAGCUGUUCAUGCAGCUUUGAAUAGUUUGUUUUGUCAACGAGAGGAAGUUAUUCAUUAGUCUCAUCCUGUUGACACCCUCCCAGUAAGUUUUAUUCUAUGGCACAGAUUCCAAGUGUAUGUGUGUGGUUACAUCGAUGGAAGUCACAUACCAAUCAUCCCUACAUCAAAAGGUGAAGAUGUAUUUCUCAAUCGCCACCAGUUUUAAUCAUUGAAUGUCUUUUACGUUUGUGGACCAGAUUUGUAUGUUUAUUAUGUUUACGCUGAUGGAACUGGGCGAUGACAUGAUUCUAGAUUUAAAAGCUGUCUAUUGAAAUUGUGAAUUGAGUUUAAAUUAAUCAGAAAAGAUAUAAGCAUAAUCUUUUGGAUUUGUUAUGGUGUUCCAAGUACAACUUGUUAUGAUGUUCCAAGUACAACUUGUUAUGAUGUUCCAAGUACAACUAAGUGGCAAAUGAAAACUACGGUUAUGUUUUAAAAAAAAAUCAGAGACGGAAGUUAAUGAAUGCACAAGAUUAAACUUUAUUAAUUGAAUAUUCGAUGGAGCUAACAUUUAAAACAUGUAAAGUUGUUUAAAGAAGGCUUUUAAAGAACGUUGAUCAACGAAAAAAGACUUAAAGAACGAGUUAAAGAAUUAUAUAGGUUCAAAAAACGAAAUUUAAACAAUUUUUAUGCUUCUAUUUUUAUAGAUCUAUAUAGAUUAUAGAUAUUUUUAUA